GUAGGUAGCAAGCGUUGUCCGGAAUUAUUGGGCGUAAAGCGCGCGCAGGCGGUUCUUUAAGUCUGAUGUGAAAGCCCACGGCUCAACCGUGGAGGGUCAUUGGAAACUGGAGAACUUGAGUACAGAAGAGGAAAGCGGAAUUCCACGUGUAGCGGUGAAAUGCGUAGAGAUGUGGAGGAACACCAGUGGCGAAGGCGGCUUUCUGGUCUGUAACUGACGCUGAGGCGCGAAAGCGUGGGGAGCAAACAGGAUUAGAUACCCUGGUAGUCCACGCCGUAAACGAUGAGUGCUAAGUGUUAGGGGGUUUCCGCCCCCCUUAGUGCUGCAGCUAACGCAUUAAGCACUCCGCCCUGGGAGUACGGCCGCAAGGCUG
rnacentral:rRNA from 1 species